UUGGCGGACGGGUGAGUAACGCGUGGGUAACCUGCCGUAUACAGGGGGAUAACACUUAGAAAUAGGUGCUAAAACCGCAUAAGCGCACAGUGCCGCAUGGCGCAGUGUGAAAAACUCCGGUGGUAUACGAUGGACCCGCGUCUGAUUAGCCAGUUGGCAGGGUAACGGCCUACCAAAGCGACGAUCAGUAGCCGGCCUGAGAGGGUGGACGGCCACAUUGGGACUGAGACACGGCCCAAACUCCUACGGGAGGCAGCAG
rnacentral:rRNA from 1 species